rnacentral:ncRNA from 1 species
UUCAUCCAGAGCAGCUGAGGGACUGGCCCAGUGACGCUGCGGCAACCUCCAUUAUGGGAAGGUGCCAAUUCCAGCAGGAUUUCCUGACAGAUGAGU